rfam:Macleaya cordata isolate BLH2017 scaffold1523, whole genome shotgun sequence.
GCCGAAGAUGAUGAGUGCUUUAUUCUGACACCUCUUCUAUGAGAAGAACCUUCAAAAGUUCUUCCUUGAGCAUAGGUAGCAACUCUCUGAGCC